rnacentral:rRNA from 1 species
UAGUUCAGCACUAAGUCACUUUGUCUUAAUGGCAAAUGUGAGAUGCAGUGUAUGGAAUGUCAAAUUUCUAGUAUGAGAAAUUAACGAUUUAAGUCCUUCUUAAAUGAGGCCAUUUACCCAAAGAGGGUGCCAGGCCCGUAUAACGUUAAUGAUUACUAGAUGGCAUUUCCAAAGAGUCGUGUUGCUUGAUAGUGCAGCACUAAGUGGGUGGUAAACUCCAUCUAAAACUAAAUAUAACCAUGAGACCGAUAGUAAACAAGUACCGUGAGGGAAAGUUGAAAAGAACUCUGAAUAGAGAGUUAAAUAGUACGUGAAACUGCUUAGAGGUUAAGCCCGAUGAACCUGAAUAUCCAUUAUAGAAAAUUCAUCAUUAUGAUUUUAAUAUUUAUAAUAUUAUAAUAAUGGUGUGCAUUUUUUCUAUAAAAGGACAUUGUAAUCUAUUAACAUCAAAUAUUUAUCAAAAGAUCAAUUGCAAAAGUUUAUUCAAAUUAUUUUGCUUGCAAUUUAACAUAGAAUAAAUGCUUUUGAUUUGAUAAAGUGUUGAUAGAUUUAUUAUAUAUAGUGCUUGAAUAUUUAUAUUCUAUAAUAGCAUAUUAAUCAUUGAUUUUUAUGUUUAUUAUAUGCACUUAUAUGAUUAACAAUGCGAAAGAUUCAGGAUACCUUCGGGACCCGUCUUGAAACACGGACCAAGGAGUCUAACAUAUUUGCAAGUUAUUGGGAAUAAAAACCUAAUAGCGAAAUUAACAUAACUUAUUUAAUGGGAUUAAUUUUUAGCCUAUUUAUAGUCUAUUAAUUCAAUCCCGGGGCGUUCUAUACAGUUAUGUAUAAUAAUAUUUAUAUUAUUUAUACCUCUAACUAGAGCGUACCUUGAGCAUAUAUGCUGUGACCCGAAAGAUGGUGAACUAUACUUGAUCAGGUUGAAGUCAGGGGAAACCCUGAUGGAAGACCGAAACAGUUCUGAC